AGUUAUUGUGGUAUACAGAUGGACUGGAGUAUGUGUCAAGUUAGCUGUUCACUGAAUAUGACGUGUAAAGCCCCGGCCAUUUCUAGCACUUAAGGUAACUGUUAUGCAUUGCUCCCGGGUUGUGACCCAGGUGAUCUCUGAAUUGUCAUGACCAGGGAUAUAACCAUGUCGACUGGCUUGGUUUGAAUUUCCAAAAGAAGGGUUGAACACUGAUCAGACAACCCUGGUGAAACCCUGGUCAGUGGUGUGAAAAAGGUAAUAGAUCAUUGCUGACAGUACGGUAUC